rnacentral:tRNA from 1 species
GUCCCUGUAGCGCAAUAAAUAGUGGGUUGGACAUCUAAUCCAAAGGUUGUGGGUUCGAAUCCCACCUGGGAUG